GUAGGUGGCAAGCGCUGUCCGGAAUUAUUGGGCGUAAAGCGCGCGCAGGUGGUUCUUUAAGUCUGAUGUGAAAGCCCCCGGCUCAACCGGGGAGGGUCAUUGGAAACUGGGGAACUUGAGUGCAGGAGAGGAAAGUGGAAUUCCACGUGUAGCGGUGAAAUGCGUAGAUAUGUGGAGGAACACCAGUGGCGAAGGCGACUUUCUGGCCUGUAACUGACACUGAGGCGCGAAAGCGUGGGGAGCAAACAGGGAUUAGAUACCCUGGUAGUCCACGCCGUAAACGAUGAGUGCUAAGUGUUGGGGGGGUUUCCGCCCCCUCAGUGCUGCAGCUAACGCAUUAAGCACUCCGCCUGGGAGUACGGUCGCAAGACUG
rnacentral:rRNA from 1 species